AACCCAUUAUGUGGACAAUCCUCGACUAACCUUUUAAACCUCCCGAAGCAUCACUGAGCGAUUCGUCUAUGUCUUGUUCAAAAUUAGUAAUAAGCUUCCUUCGUCU